rnacentral:ribozyme from 1 species
GUAGGUUAUAACGAUAGACUUGCAAGUAGUUACUAAUGCAGCCAAACGAAACGACAGUUCCAAGCCUGUGAAAAUGCAGAGGAGUAA